AGACUGCCCACAGCCAGAUCUGACCAGACUAUAAAACGGGGAUCCCGCCAAGGCUGCUCUUUGUGUGGUCCUCUCGGAGAUGCGGGCCAAAUGCUGCCACCGAGAGCCCUCCUGGGACUGGGACACCGUCUAAGGUAACCUCCCAAAAAAUGGGACUGCCUCAUCUCUGCAUGUGGGACAAAAGGAAGAUGACGGGGUGGAAGACACUCCAGCUGAAAUCAGUGAUGGUUAAAAGUCAGUCCUUGGAAAUGAGAGUUACACCAGGGCGAUACCAACAGCCCAUUCAGGAGACAGUCCUGCAACUGGAAACACUAAUGAACUCUAUGCAUGAUAUCGCAUAAACUCCCUGAAACAGGAGGACUGUCCAAAGCCAGGCCAUAUUACAUUUGAUCCUAUUGGAGGAAAAGGGUGUAUACAGGUGUCAUUACAAGGACAAAUAACAGAGGACUCGGGCAAUUGUUGCUGUACUGGGGACUAACUGGUGAUGUAUUUGUUCUCCUUACCAGGAUGGCUAACCAGCCUCCUCCAAUAGUUGUUAAUAACUGUAAUCGUUGGAACUUGCAUUAUUCUAUUGUUCAUUGGUAGGUUGAUCUGUAUGGUGAUAAGAUGACACAUAAGGUAUGGUGAUCCACAGCAGACAUCAAAACUCACCAACAGAAAUGGCCCCUUUUGACUUUGGAGGCAAGAGGUGACUGCAUUACCACUCCAAAGUGUCUGUUAGAUCAUGACUGUGGUCACAGGGUGGAUAGUGUGGCAGUACACAUAGACCACACACACCCCCCCCCCCACUGAGAACUUAUGUGGCAGCUGCAUGUGUGCACAGCCCCCCCCUUCCUUCAAUGGGGCAGCUAAUGGCUCUUAUUGUGACACCCAGGCCAGAGUCGUUAGGAGAGAGGAGGGGGCGCACGUAGCCACAGUAGGGGGGUGCAGAGAAGCCGCGAAGCUUCUAGACUGCCCACAGCCAGAUCUGACCAGACUAUAAAACGGGGAUCCCGCCAAGGCUGCUCUUUGUGUGGUCCUCUCGGAGACGCGGGCCAAAUGCUGCCACCGAGAGCCCUCCUGGGACUGGGACACCGUCUAAGGUAACCUCCCAAAAAAUGGGACUGCCUCAUCUCUGCAUGUGGGUGAGUGAUAACUUAGUAUUUCCUCACCAGAUAAGUGAGCGUAUUAAAUAAUUCCUCGCCACUUGGGCGGGUGUUUUUCUCACUAGACAAGUGAGUGUAUUUUUCCUGGAGUCAGGGACGGCUCUGGUGUUGUUUAUUGUGAGUGCGUGUAUGCACACUGUGGAUCUCCAUUAUUCUUAUUUUACUGUACCCCAAAUAAUCUCCUCAAGUUGAUAUCCGAAUCUGUAUUUUAUGUUACCAGAGUGCUAACUAAUUGUAUGAACCCUGUUUCUGAUUGGUUGUUUUGCUGGACUUUCCCAGACGGAAUAAAAGUCUGUUUGGACCUUG